CCAAUAGCGUAUAUUAAAGUUGUUGCAGUUAAAAAGCUCGUAGUUGAAUUUCGGGAUCAAUACGUCGGUCAUGCCUCUGGUAUGUACUGGUUUUAUUGGUUUCUCCUUUCUGAGGAGCCAUUAUGUCAUUAAUUUGGUGUCGUGGGGAAUCAGGACUGUUACUUUGAAAAAAUUAGAGUGUUUAAAUCAGGCCCGCGCUUGAAUACAUUAGCAUGGAAUAAUGAAAUAGGACGUUCGAUUCUAUUUUGUUGGUUUCUAGGAUCAACGUAAUGAUUAAUAGGGAUAGUUGGGGGCAUUAGUAUUCAAUUGUCAGAGGUGAAAUUCUUGGAUUUAUUGAAGACUAACUACUGCGAAAGCAUUUGCCAAGGAUGUUUUCAUUAAUCAAGAACGAAAGUUAGGGGAUCGAAGACGAUCAGAUACCGUCGUAGUCUUAACCAUAAACUAUGCCGACUAGGGAUCGGAUGAUGUUAAUUUUUUAAUGACUCAUUCGGCGCCUUACG
rnacentral:rRNA from 1 species